AAAAAAGUAGGGAAAUGUGUGAGCCGGCUGCCGAGAAAAGCCGCUAUUGUUUGUACUGUACCCGUACCGUAAACCGACACAGGUGGAUGAGGAGAGAAUCCUAAGGCCGACGGAAGAAGCAUUGCUAAGGAACUCGGCAAAAUGACCCUGUAACUUCGGGAGAAAGGGUGCCUCGAAAGAGGCCGCAGAGAAUAGGCCCAAGCAACUGUUUAGCAAAAACACAGGUCUAUGCAAAACCGCAAGGUGAAGUAUAUGGGCUGACGCCUGCCCGGUGCUGGAAGGUUAAGGGGAGAUGUCAGGAGACGAAGCAUCGAACUUAAGCCCCAGUAAACGGCGGCCGUAACAAUAACGGUCCUAAGGUAGCGAAAUUCCUUGUCGGGUAAGUUCCGACCCGCACGAAAGGCGUAAUGAUUUGGGCGCUGUCUCGGCAAUGCAUCCGGUGAAAUUGAAGUGCCAGUGAAGAUGCUGGCUACCCGCGCCAGGACGGAAAGACCCCAUGGAGCUUUACUCCAGCUUGAUACUGGGAUUCGGUAUUGUAUGUACAGGAUAGGUGGGAGGCUGAGAAAUGGUGACGCCAGUCGCCAUGGAGCCGCUGUUGGGAUACCACCCUUGCAGUACUGGAUUUCUAACCAGCAGCCGUGAUCCGGCUGGGGGACAAUGUCAGGUGGGGAGUUUGACUGGGGCGGUCGCCUCCGGAAGGGUAUCGGAGGCGCUCAAAGGUUCCCUCAGAAUGGUCGGAAACCAUUCGAAGAGUGCAAAGGCAGAAGGGAGCUUGACUGCGACACCGACGGGUGGGGCAGGUACGAAAGUAGGACUUAGUGAUCCGGUGGUAUUAAGUGGGAAUGCCAUCGCUCAACGGAUAAAAGCUACCCUGGGAUAACAGGCUUAUCACUCCCAAGAGUUCACAUCGACGGAGUGGUUUGGCACCUCGAUGUCGGCUCAUCGCAUCCUGGGGCUGUAGUAGGUCCCAAGGGUUGGGCUGUUCGCCCAUUAAAGCGGUACGCGAGCUGGGUUCAGAACGUCGUGAGACAGUUCGGUCCCUAUCCGGCGUGGGCGUAGGAUAAUUGAGAGGAGCUGACCUUAGUACGAGAGGACCGGGUUGGACUGACCUCUGGUGCACCGGUUGUCAUGCCAAUGGCACAGCCGGGUAGCCAAGUCGGGAAGGGAUAAACGCUGAAGGCAUCUAAGCGUGAAGCCCCCCUCAAGAUGAGAUAUCCCCCGCAUAAGCGGUAAGACCCCUUGAAGACGACGAGGUAGAUAGGGCAGAGGUGGAAGUGCAGUAAUGUAUGGAGCUGACUGCUACUAAUAGGUCGAAGGCUUAAC
rnacentral:rRNA from 1 species